rnacentral:rRNA from 1 species
AAGUAAGUGUUUAAGGGCG